CUCAGGCCAAGGCACUGAAACCUUAGAAAAAUUCCUAGAAAUGGCAUAAUUGAUAAAAAGAUACAUUUAUUUUUAUUUAAUUAUACUGAAGAACAAAAUUAGGGAAUAACAAUAAGAAAUUCAAAAGUUAAAAGCAAAGCACAAUAAUGAAUAAUAAUGUGUAAUGAAUAGAAAUCUCUCUCUUCUGUCUCUCAGCCUCCCAAUUUCCUUCCCCACAGGUAGCUGCUGCUUUUGGUUACCUAUGUACAUGUAUGUGUAACGUGUGUGCACUUUCCAAGAUAGGACAUGCCAAAUAAGUAGCUGUAUGCUUUAUACAAAUGAUAUUUUAGGAUUUGACAUAAAACACUGUCAUUCAGAGAGGUACUAAUUUGAUUCUUCCACAAAAGCAGGCAUUUCCCAGUAUGCUUAUCAACACUGAGUAUUGUCACAGUGUCAUCACAGCUCAUGGGUACUACCCAAUCUGAUCACUAUAUAACAGUCUUGCUGGCAGUAAAGUCCUAGAGAAAAAGUUCCAUUUGGGGGACAGAAAAAGUAGGACAUGGAAUUACAAGGUGACUUUAUGUCCUUAUGUUUCCUGGAGGAGGGGGAAAGGGGGAGAGAGAGAGAGAGAGAGAGAGAGAGAGAGAAAGACAGAGAGUCUAAAAUGGAAGAAAGAAAAAAGAGCCUUCAGCCUAAGAUGGGAAAUUGCUCCUGGAAUCCAGCAGCCCAUGUUAGGGGUGGCUGUUCUAUCUGGGUUCUAGGGGACAUGAGGGUACCCUGCAGAGCCACAAGAUCAACCUUCUUGGGUCCUGAAGAGCAGGUGGCACUGAAAGAGAGGAUCUACUCAGGACAAUGAGCUGGCUUCACCAGCAAGAAACCACUUGCCACAGGGGUCCUGGGCCGGCUGUCCAAGUCCAGCGGGCUGCUGUGGGCCUGUCCAAGCAGGGAUGUCUUCGACAUGGCGGUGGGUGGCAGAAGCUCGAGGCUGUGCUCUAUGACAGCCUGGGACCAGCUGAGGGUGGGUUCUUCUCCAGACCGACCAUGCUGCAAAUCCAGGAUUCUUGAGGGUGCCUGGCCCUGGCUGAGCCCUGGAGCAUUCGAGUUGGGGAAGAGGGGGCAGGACGAGCUGGUGCCCGGAGGGUCUUAGGACAGUCUCUUCUCCGAUGGUCCACAGCCCCUCGGGGGCUCAGGUCCUGUCCAGGACUCGUGGGCUCUCAGAUUUUCCCAGUUGAGCCCUUGCUGCUGGGAGGGAGAAGGAAGCAUUUGCCUGGAGGCGCUGGUGCUGGGCUGCAGGCCCAGACUCCAUGCUGAGCUGGCUCUGUGAGGAGGAAACCUGAGUGACCUCACAAUGGAGGUUGCCUGGCUGACAAGCUGCUCAGAACCCCAGGAAGCCAGGGUGGCCCCAAAGGAGUCCUCCAGCACCAGCUUCUCUGUGUGGGGUGAAGAAUGGCUCGUGAUGUCUAACCCAGAUGCCACCUGUGCAGAACUUCUGCCUAGGAGGAGUGUAUGGAAGGAGUUCGAGUCAACUAUGUGGAAGGGAGUUCGAGUUAAUUUUUAAAAAUCAUUUGUUCAGCCAGGAGUGGUGGCACAUGCCUGUAAUCCCAGCACUUGGGAGGCAGAGGCAGGAGGAUCACUGCCAGAGAUGACAGGGCCAAGCAACCAUGGACGGAAACCUCUGAAACUGGGCCGCACGAGGUCUCGCAGGGCGCCAGGCGGCAUCGCCCAGGAGCAGAAGGAAAUGAAGCUGCAGCGACCCAGUGAGCGGCCCGGAGAAGCUGAAGAAGCAGAACUAACAGCAAGCCUUGCGGGUAGCAGUGUGAGCUGCCGGCGUGGGGCACAGACGUGUGGAGGCCGAGGCGACUUGUGAGCAGCACGCGCCGUCUGUCCUCUGCCUGGACACAGCUGUGUGUCGCCGGACCCCAGCAAGCAACAAGCCAGUUCUAUUGUUUCAUUUCUGCUCUCCUUCCUUCAUCUCAGGGAUAUCUUUGUAUGUUUCUCCUGUGUCACAUAACCUCUGUUGUAUAGAGAUUUUUCCUGUAUUUUCCUCUAGGAUUUUGUAAAGCAGAAGUUUAAUCGCAAGUUAGAAGAAAGGCCACAUAAUCAAACAGGGAGAGAUGGGAACUCUGGAGAUGUGCAUGCACUUGAAUGGCUUUAAACCUGUCUCAGCAUUAACCAUAGCAGGUUACUUGGCCACUGUUUGCCCUUCCGGUGUAACUUCCGGGACUCAGUGCUUACCAGCUGUCCCCGAAGGCUGCAUUCUUGCUCAGGUCUGUGUGUUAGGCCACUCCCCUUGCAAUAUGUGGAUGAAGUAUGCAGGUGCAUCGACUGCUGGAUUCACUUCUGUGCCAUUUUUGUAAAUACAGUAGUUUUGCCAACAUUUCACAAGUACCUGCAUUAUUUUCACAUAUUAGGAAGUAUAUAAUGUGUCACCCUGAAGCACAAAAGCUGCCACACAAAACUCUGUCAUUGCAGCUUUUGUGUAAUGACAGCAAUUUGCAGUCUUGGGCCGUACAAUGAAGCUUUUUGUUCCUCACAUCCGUGACAUUCACUGGCCUUGUGCACAUGUGAUACGUGGCUUAGGCACAUCUUUGUCCUGUGCAGAACAUUUCCUUUUGACUCUUGUGAAAGUUGCAGUUCAUAUGAUUUCUAUGAACCUUUAAAUGUAGACACAUUUUGCUUCCACACCACCCUUGGGCACAUAGAAUAAAAGGCUUCCAUACUCUGCCUUCCACCCCCACCCUCCCCGCCCUGGCUUUUUCCUUUUCCUCUGCUCCUUUGACUCCCGGUCUUGGGCUGCUCGGUGGCUAUGAAAGCCCCGGGGUCUGAACCCUUACUCUACACUUGUGUUUUGUGACACACUAACGGUGUUUUCCUUCUAAUUUCCCAGUUGUUAAUUGAUCGCUCAAUCCUGUAUUAUGAGUAAUACUUGACAAUUGUUUAAAUAAAAGGAACUUUAUAAUGGAACAACUAGUUGAGAGGACUGGCCCAGGAGUCUCUGUGGGGAUGAACUGAGUGCUGGUGGAUGAUCUGGAGGACUUUGAUGAGCUAAGAGAACUGUGAUGAUUAGGGUGACUCUCAUGACAGGGAAAACUGCCAUUAAAGUAUUUGGAUGUUAGUGUCUGCGGGUGCCACUUUUAUGAAUGCCAUUUGAUUUUGCUUUUGGUUGAUCUAAUUAGCGAGAGCCGUAAGUCAUUGCUGGCACACACCGAGAGCUCCUUUUCGGAGCUGGGAGGCUGUGGCACGACGGGGGGUCAGUAGCCAGCGAUGGUACCCUUUGCUCUUCAUCUCUGACUCACACAAGGCCUCCCCUCCCCUCCUCUCUUUGGGAUGCAGGCAUCUUGUCUGGGUCUUGGCCCCCUUUGUGUAGCUGCGCUCCUCUGCUCCCAGAUCGUACUGGCUGGCGCCUGGGACCCAGCGUCUGCUCUCGCCCUGCCCACCCCCGGAGCAGGAAAGCAAUGAAGUCAGUACUGUGCUCCUUUCUGAUUCUAAGGGUCGAUGAUACAUAAACGCAGUAUUUGCAGUGAGAAUACAUUAUUCCCCAAUGUGUAUACCUGCUG
ensembl:lncRNA